rnacentral:lncRNA from 1 species
UCCAGGUCAUGUAACCUUGCUCACUGUUGUGGAAAGCCUGAGGAGCUCCACGAGGGGUUUAAAAGAGAGAUCUUCUUCUCCUGUUCAGAUCUGCUUGCUGCUUUCAGGAGU